rnacentral:lncRNA from 1 species
GCUGCUUAUGCCCACUGGGCUUUUCUCUUGGCUGUGUGUUCCUGGUCUCCGAGCCAUUCUGUGGCAAGGGGUUGGAGCUCGGUGAUCUUUGAGGUCUCUUCCAACCUAAGCCAUUCUGUGAUUCUGUGAUAUGAUUCUUUUGGCUUCAUGUUAUGGGUAUAGGCAACUACCCGUGAAGCGAUCACUGGUAUUGAAAGCUCUCAGCUCAAACUUUCUUUCUGGUCUACUGCUUGUCCACAUUUCUCAUCAUGACUAUAUGAUCCUUUAGAAAAUAAGGAAGGAACCAGAAGCCCCAGGGUGGCAUUACCUUUACAUUUCAGAUCCAUGGAACCGUUUGAGUUGGAAGGUACCCUUAAAGGCCAUCUGGCCCAACCCCUUGUACUGAACAGGGGCACCUACAGCUCCAUCAGGUGCUCAGAGCCCCGUCCAGCCUGACCUUGGGUGUCUCCAGGGACGAGGCACCACCACCUCUCUGGGCAACCUGUGCCAGUGCCUCACUACCCCUCAGUGUAGAAAACUUCUUCCUUAUAUCCAGUCUUAAUCUCCCCUCUUAUAGUUUGAAACCAUUUCCCUUGUCCUGUCACAUCAGACCCUGCUAAAAAAGCCCAUCCCCUUCUUUCUUACAGCCCCCCUUUAGGUACUGCUUUCCAGGGGUCAGCACCUCUUGCUGGGAAGAUGACACGUGGGGUCCCUUUUUUGCCUCUGCCCUCCCUUUGCCACAAGUGGCAAUCUUACCCUCUUUUUCCAUUCGCUCCAUGUGCUCUCCUCCUUGCAGUGGAGACGGUUUGUUACUGACUGCACGGAGGCAUUGCAAGGCUUAGCUGGGAGUCGGAAAAACUUUUCCAGAUCUUUAGUCAAGUCGUUUCAUGCAUCCACAGUAUCAGUGGCCUGCCACAUGGAUAUCAAAGAAAAUGAUUAUAAUUAUUGCUUUUAAAAUGAUUGUGAAAUUGUGCCUUACUUUUUCAGUCGUAUUUAACCGUCUAAUUUAGAACCACAUGAUUGCAGGGAUCGUAUCAUGAAGAAAUUUGUUUGAAGGAUAAUUUGUUUGUUUUUAAAGGUUUUUUUUCUUCAAAAACGAAUUUAUUAUUUUUUUCUUCUUUUACUGUUUCCUUUUUUUUUUUUUUAAUUUUCCUCCAAUUUUAUCCCUUUAAUAUGUUUGUGUAAAAAGGGCAGCCAGCAUUUGCAUUUGCGAGAGACAGAAGAUUUCAUUUGGUCUCGUAUGCAGAGCUUUCAUUUUCUUUUAUGUUCCUUCAGGAAAAUUCCUCUUUGCCCGAUUACUCAUACUUAGAUGUCUUUAAAUGCAGGCUGACCAGUGAGGGCUUUUUGUUGUUUAAUUUAGUGUGUGCUUUGCUCUGCGCUUUAUUCUGCUUUUUUUAAUUAUCCAGAUAUCGGGUGCUGGGGAGGCAUUGCACAUUAAUGCAGAAUGCUAAUGCUAUUUUUCAUAGAAAAGACAAAAUUAGAGUCUCUCCCUGUCUCCAGUGCAGUUUUAUUACUGUUUUGCGUACAACACCGAUAUUAAGCCAGACUGUAAAGGCAAAAUACUCAGUGACCUACUUCCAUUCACCAGCAAGAAGCCUUUGUCAGCUGACUCCUGUUUGUUUGUUCGUUUCUAAAUGUCGGAUUACAGAACGAGCAUCUCCCAAAGAUGAAAGAAAACAGUGUUUUCGUGCACAGGAAAUUUGGGGUUGCAGUAACAGAACAUUUUCUUUGUGAAUUUGGAUGUCGUGGUGUUUUAAGCCCCCGCCUGGAGCCUAAAUCAAUCUGGCCUCUCAUGCAGUUCAUCUCGUUGGUGCUCCUAAAAGGCUGCAGCCCUGCAAAAGCUCAUGCAGCAUUUUUGGCCGCUUUCCCUUGCUCCCAUUUGGUACAUAUUUGCACAAUUUAACUGAGCUUUUCUUUCUGCUGAAGGUCAGAUGCAAGUGAUACGAAACACUAAACUUUAUAAACAAGCAAAGCCAUUUUAACCACAGCGUUUUGGACAAGAAUGGGUUUUUAGGUGGCGUGCUGUCUGCUGGCCUUUGGAGGGAGGGGAUCCUGAGGGUGCAUUUGCCUGAAACAGGAUGCAAAGCCACAAGCCUUGGUUUCUUAAUAAACUGCUUACUGUAAUCCAGCUACACAGUUUCAGCCUCACACUUCAGAAGCAGCUUCCAGCAGCAGUGCACGUACAGGCACUUUCCCUCUUCCUUGCAGAAAGUGAAACUUUCCCAACCAGCGCAAAUUUAACCUAUUGCAUAAGAAGCUGGAAGUUUGCUUGUUUGGGUUUUUUCUUUUUUUUUUUCUCUUUGCACUUCUUUCUGUAACCUCUAUAAGCAAAGGAUGAAUAGCUUUUCUUUCUCCUUUUUUUUUUUUUUUUUUUUUGACAAGAUUAGAUGUUGCAUAUUGAUGAGCUUGCAUUUCAAAGUGCCUUUUGUUUCAGCUUAUCAGGACCGCUCUGUUCCCAUUUGUAUGCCCAGCACUGGUCCUGGUGUCUGCUAUGGUUUCCACAGGAGCUGUGCUGCAUGCAGGUGUGGAUGCAGCAUCUCGGAAAGCACAGGGCAGCUUUGCAACCUUGGCUUAAGAGGAGUGGUGUUUGGAGAAAUCCUUCCUUGGGGAUGCCCCAUUUGCCAUCUCUGUUGAAACUCCCAUUGAAGCUUUAGAUUAGGAUCAGUUAGGGCUGCAUAUACUCAGCUAUUUUCCCAUGUUAUCAACAUUCUCGUUUGCCUUCUCCUUGACAUCCCAUGCUGCAAACCGUGGUGUGCAGGGCAGCCUCCUAGGUCCUGCUCAUGUGCAGCCUUGACUUUUCCAAGUUCAAUCAGUGCCUGCUGCUUUUCCUUAGGACAGCUCUGGUUGGGCCAAGGGCAUCUCUACGCAAAAGGUGGUGCUUUCCUCUUCAGCUUACAAAUAAUGCCUCUUUUUCAGAUUCACCUUUCCCCUCUCACGUAUUCCUGACAGGAGCAGGGCUUUAAAUAUUUCAUAGCGUUCUUCUUUCUCCUCCUUUUUUGCCAGAUGCCUUGAAAACACUGUCAGAUUACGAUCUGGGCGGGAGUUUUCAGGAUCGAUUUCCUUUCCUCCUUGAUUGCGACGGUGUAGGUUUGCAGUGAGGUUUGCUGCUUGUUUUUGGUUUUCUUUUUACCUUUGACAGAACAGAUGCCUUCAGUUUAUGCAGUGAAAGAUUGACUAUGAUUAGAGCUAAUCCAGGAUGGCAGGAUUGGACCCCCACAGUGAAAUCUAGAAAAGUGAUUGCAAAAGUAUUUUGUUUCUCCUUUAUUAAUUACACAGGAAGUUUCCACAGAAGGCUCAUGUAACACUGCUGGCCUAUGUAAUAAGUAGCAGGGCCUGUAAUUACAGUCUGUCUCUGAUCCUAUCUGUGCUCUGGCUUUCUAGGCAUCGCAGUUCUAUUUACAUCUGUGUCUUUGUCACCUCUUAAAUUUUUCAUUGGUCACUGAGGGAAGAACAACACAAGCCGUGAGCCCUGCAGAGGUGCAGCAGCUCUGACCAAGGGAGUCCUCCACCUUCUCAUGUAUCUGCCUGAUUCGGGACACAGAAGAAAGAGAUUUUGACCAGCAAAGGGAGCAAGCUGCAUACCAGCUUUGUACCUUUCGGCAUCUCAGAGUCUUUGUAGGACUGGAAAAUCAAACCUAUUACAGGUCUUUACUAGUGUACCGUCCUGUGAGGGAGUUUAUACAUUGCUAUUUCCUUGCUCUGAGCAGAUUCUACUGGAUUUCAGCAUCCUUUUCUGUAAGAUUCAGGGUUUUAUGGUUGCAAAGAAACUUUCCAGAUAUGGCAGGAGGAGGAAGAUGGCUUUUAGCUGGGCUUCUCUGUGUGAUGCCGUAAGUGCUCUUAGCAGCGUAAAGCAGGAGUGGGAAUGGGGCAGCAGUGAUUUGUUCCAUUCCAGGUUCCCCAGCACUGAGCUCUGGUUGACGCAGCCCUGGGCAGCCCAGCUCCUGGUCCUGAAACCUGGUGCUGAGUGAGCUGGCACCUGGGGUGGAUGCUCAGUGCUGGUCACCCCACAGUCCCCUUCUUUCUUAAGAGAUACCUUCUAGAGUUAAACUACAGAAUGGUGCCCCCCAGCCUUUUUCUUAAGGCACUAUUCCCAGUGCUGUGUUUGAGCAUGAGGAGCAAAAGCCAUUGUGCAAACACUGUACACAGUGCAUAAAGAAAAAUUAACAAUCUACGAUGGAUAUUUUCAAUGUCCAUUACACUGUUAUGCAAAUUGUCCCUUUUCUGCAGCUAGCGCUGUUAAUUAUUUUGGGUUUGACUUUAUUAAAAAAUAAAAAAGCACAAUAAUUUUGUAUUUUUUCCUUACUACUUCUAAGAAAGUUGAUGCUUUAAAGGAAAAAAAAAAAAACAAAAAAAAAAACCCUUACUUUCAAACAUGGGUUUUUCAGGCUUCGAAAUUAAUAAUUUCUACACCUGACCCAGUUCUUGCAGCUGCCAAAAAAAGAAAAGAGAAAGCUAUUUAAAUUUCUCAUAGAACCAUUUAUCUCUUAAAAUAUGCCAAGGCAAUUUGAGGUGGGGGUGGAGACUCAGCUAUUUAUCUCAGCAGCUUGAUUUUUCUCUUUAUGUUUCUAACUGUCAGGGGAAAAAAACGGUAGGAAGCUAUUCUUGGGCUAUUAUUGAUGUAUUGUGUUGCCAUUAUGCAGGAUGUCUGCUUUGCUAUAUACGGAAGGACAUUAAUAAUAGCCAUCUUCCCUGCCCCCACCCUCGGUUCCUUUUAGGAAGAUGUGGUUUAAACUGGAGCAUCUGCCCUGUUCAAAUUGCUGCUCCCCCUCCCCUUCCCUCAGUUAGUUCCCAAACUAGUUUUUGGGAACAAGGCUAAAGGAAUGAGGAGAUAGGUAGAAAAAUGGCAAGUAUAACCUACUUGUGUGCUUGCUCCAGGCAAGUCAUUUCCAUGCCGUGUACCUGUCUUCGUCUUUCCUUCCCAUCUAUUGCCCCUCGUUUCAUUCCAAGUUCAUCAGUGCAGAAAUACCCUUCUUGCCAUUUCUGUCUCACAGGGGCUGGCUGGCAGAACAGGCUCAGCAACAGACCUCAGCUUUGUGAUUACACAGCAUGCCACAUCCAGGAACGUUGGUUUCCUCAUUAUGUCCUCUAAGUAGGAAAAUAUAUUCCCAUCCCUCCUUACCCUGGCUUUAAAAUAUUGUUAAGAAACUUGAAAGGCUCGGCCCACUUGUUUAAAGGCUUGUUGUAUUUUUGGAAGCGGAGUGUAUGGUGAGCAGGAAUAGUUUGAUAUUUGAAAAAUAUCCCCACUUGAGCAUUCCCCCGAGGUGUGGGAAGUCCUGUCUCCAUGGGUCUGUGCCAGCACUGUGACAGCCCAGCGAGCAAAGCCAGCUUGGAUAGGAAAAGAACUGGCCAGCCCUGUUUCAUCUGAUAGAAGAGAGGUGGAAACAAUAAACAUGGCAAAAGCUUCAGGGCCUAGUUGCUCAAAUUUAAUCUAUCUUUUUUUCCAGUGGCUACGUUUCUGCAUUUUGUGCUGGUUUUGUUGUCCAGAAGCUUUGCUUCUUCAGCAUUUCUGAUGGUCAGAACCAUGUGCUCUUCCAUGAUGUCAUUUUAGUUUGUUUGUAAUUCAUUGCUAGUCUUUAUCUGGUCUUUAUAUGAUCCAGAGCUGUUCUGUUUUGGGUUCUGAAUUCAAUCAAAGUUAGGGACUCUUGUAAAGCACAUCCAGACUCUAGGACUAAAAAA